UACGUAGGGUGCAAGCGUUGUCCGGAAUUAUUGGGCGUAAAGAGCUCGUAGGCGGUUUGUUGCGUCGGCUGUGAAAUCCCGAGGCUCAACCUCGGGUCUGCAGUCGAUACGAGCAAACUAGAGUGUUGCAGGGGAGACUGGAAUUCCUGGUGUAGCGGUGAAAUGCGCAGAUAUCAGGAGGAACACCGGUGGCGAAGGCGGGUCUCUGGGCUGACACUGACGCUCAUGCACGAAAGCGUGGGGAGCAAACAGG
rnacentral:rRNA from 1 species